rnacentral:rRNA from 1 species
AUUGAACGCUAGCGGGAUGCCUUACACAUGCAAGUCGAACGAGUGGCGGACGGGUGAGUAAUAUAUGGGAACCUGCCCGGUAGCGGGGGAUAACUACUCGAAACAGUGGCUAAUACCGCAUACCAUCGGAUCUGCCGAGAUCGGAUUAGCUAGUUGGUGGGGUAAAGGCUCACCAAGGCGACGAUCCGUAGCUGGUUUGAGAGGACGACCAGCCACACUGGGACUGAGACACGGCCCAGACUCCUACGGGAGGCAGCAGUGGGGAAUAUUGGACAAUGGGCGAAAGCCUGAUCCAGCCAUGCCGCGUGUAUGAAGAAGGCCUUCGGGUUGUAAAGUACUUUCAGCGGGGAGGCGUUAUCCGCAGAAGAAGCACCGGCUAACUCCGUGCCAGCAGCCGCGGUAAUUC